AUUGAACGCUGGCGGCAUGCCUUACACAUGCAAGUCGAACGGCAGCACGGGGGCAACCCUGGUGGCGAGUGGCGAACGGGUGAGUAACACAUCGGAACGUGCCCAGUAGUGGGGGAUAGCUCGGCGAAAGCCGGAUUAAUACCGCAUACGACCUACGGGUGAAAGCGGGGGAUCGCAAGACCUCGCGCUAUCGGAGCGGCCGAUGUCAGAUUAGGUUGUUGGUGGGGAAAGGCCUACCAAGCCGACGAUCUGUAGCUGGUCUGAGAGGACGACCAGCCACACUGGGACUGAGACACGGCCCAGACUCCUACGGGAGGCAGCAGUGGGGAAUUUUGGACAAUGGGCGCAAGCCUGAUCCAGCCAUGCCGCGU
rnacentral:rRNA from 1 species